CUGCCAUUUUUGGUACACAAUACUGUAAACACGCACUGUCCUGCUGCUCUGGGAGGCACAGAAAAUCCUCAUCUUCUGACCGUAACUGUUUGGCGGAGACAUAAUUGAGCUCCGAGCUCAUGUGGGUGGCGUCGUGCGCCUGAGAGCAGACACAAAGCAGAAGUGCGAGUGUGAAGAUCCACGUUGGCAAACACGCUAUCCGUGUCUCUUCCACACAUCUACUGUAAGUACUUUUUCUUCCUCUCCACUGUAACUCCUCUCCGCUCACAAAUUAACAAGUCCUCCAGCAGCCUUAAGCCUGGAAACACCCGCUCGCUGAUCUUUCUCCUCGUCUUUUCAUCUCCCCCCAUCCUCCCUCAAAUCUCCCUCUGUCCUCUUUAGUCCCUCGUUCCCUCCCUACCUUCUCAUCAUCCUGCUUCUCCUAGCUUCCUCCUUACCCUACCCCCUUUCUUCCUCCCCUCUCUCCCUCUCUCUCUCCCUUUUCUCUCUCUAUCUCGCUCUCUUUGUAGGUAUUUCCCUUGCUGAUGUUGUCCAUUGAGAGCCAGUGAUUGUCUGUGGGUGAGAGCAGAGGAGAAGAGAGGAGCCGAUUACUGCAAUGCAGAGCAACCAAACAACAUCACGCUGCUGCAGCGCUCACUCUCUGUUUGCAUGUGUGCUUGUAUGUACAGUGUGUGUACAUAUUUAUAUGGUCUUUGUUUGUAUUUGUAUGAAGAAAAGUGUGCACACAGCAGGCAGAUACAGUGAUGCCAUCUGAGCGCGCGUGUGUGUCUGUCUGUCUGUGUGUGUGUUUGUGAGCGAUGACCAGCUCCACCACAAACUAUUUGUCAUGCCCAAACACCAAAGCUUCUGCAGCUAUGCACCAUGACUUUUAAAUAGAUCUCUUUUCACUGACAUCAAACUAUGCCCAACUGUGCAUUUUUAAUACCCGCAUGUUUAUGCAGAGAAGAAUAUGGUUUCAUGCCUCCACACACACACACACACACACUUGAGCUCACUCAGAAAGGAUCCGCCUAUCUCCGCUCAGGCUAAAUCUAUUAUGCAAAAUGACAGUGUUUUAAUCAGGCUAAUUGUCCAGCUCCUCGCUGUGUCUCUGCCAUCUCUACUUAACCGAUGCCACAGCCGCACUGUUUUCCUUUUUUUUUUUUUUAAAGGAAUAAAUGACACGGCGGUGGAGGAAGAGCGAGAGGCAAUCUAAGCCACAGAGGCCCAAAGGCGUUUGAAGUCUAAAGACUCUUUC